ensembl:lncRNA
UGGGAGGAAAAAGAGGAUAGAGGGAGUGAAUAAGACGUGAGGAAAGACAGGAGGAGGGAUCAGAGACACAGGGGAGAGAGAAGAGAGGAGUAGAGAAGAGGAAGACGGGAUGGGAGAGGUGCAGAGAGAGAGGAGUAGAGGAAGGAGGACGGAACGGGAGAGGUGCAGAGAGAGAGAGAGGAGUAGAGGAGAGGAGGACGGGACGAGAGAGGUGCAGAGAGAGAGAGGAGUAGAGGAGAGGAGGAUGGGACGGGAGAGGUGUGCAGAGAGAGAGGAGUAGAGGAGAGGAGGACAGGACGGGAGAGGUGCAGAGAGAGAGAGGAGUAGAGGAGAGGAUGACGGGACGGGAGAGGUGCAGAGAGAGGGAGGAGUAGAGGAGAGGAGGACGGGACGGGAGAGAAACAGAGAGAGAGAGGAGUAGAGGAGAGGAGGACGGGACGGGAGAGGAGCAGAGAGAGGCGUAGAGGGGAGGAGGACGGGACGGGAGAGGUGCAGAAAGAGAAGAGAGAGAGAGAGAGAGAGAGAGGAGCAGAGGUGGACAGGACGGGAGAGGUGCAGAGAGAGAGGAGGAAGGAGAGGAGGACGGGACGGGAGAGGUGCAGAGAGAGAGAGAGAGAGAGAGGAGUAGAGGAGAGGAGGACGGGACGUGAGAGGUGCAGAGAGAGAGAGGAGUAGAGGAGAGGAGGGCGGGACGGAGACGUGCAGAGAGAGGAGUAGAUGAGAGGAGGACGGGACGGGAGAGGUGCAGAGAGAGAGAGGAGUAGAGGAGAGGAGGACGGGAUAGGACGGGAGAGGUGCAAAGAGAAAGGAGUAGAGGAGAGGAUGACGGGACGGGAGAGGUGCAGGGGGAGAGAGAGGAGUAGAGGAGCGGAGGACGGGGCGGGAGAGGUGCAGAGAGAGAAAGGAGUAGAGGAGGCCGGGACGGGAGAGGUGCAGAGAGAGGAGUA